UACGUAGGGACCGAGCGUUGUCCGGAUUCAUUGGGCGUAAAGGGUGCGUAGGUGGCGAGGCAAGUCAGAUGUGAAAUCCCCGGGGCUCAACCCCGGAACUGCAUUUGAAACUGCCUUGCUCGAGUACUGGAGAGGAGACUGGAAUUUACGGUGUAGCAGUGAAAUGCGCAGAUAUCAGGAGGAACACCGGUGGCGAAGGCGGGGUCUCUGGGCCGAUACUGACGCUGGAGGCACGAAAGCGUGGGGAGCAAACAGG
rnacentral:rRNA from 1 species